UCCCUGAUGUNAGCGGCGGACGGGUGAGUAACACGUGGGUAACCUGCCUGUAAGACUGGGAUAACUCCGGGAAACCGGGGCUAAUACCGGAUGCUUGAUUGAACCGCAUGGUUCAAUUAUAAAAGGUGGCUUUUAGCUACCACUUACAGAUGGACCCGCGGCGCAUUAGCUAGUUGGUGAGGUAACGGCUCACCAAGGCAACGAUGCGUAGCCGACCUGAGAGGGUGAUCGGCCACACUGGGACUGAGACACGGCCCAGACUCCUACGGGAGANCAGUGG
rnacentral:rRNA from 1 species